AGUGAACGCUGGCGGUAGGCCUAACACAUGCAAGUCGAACGGCAGCACAGUAAGAGCUUGCUCUUACGGGUGGCGAGUGGCGGACGGGUGAGGAAUACAUCGGAAUCUACUUUUUCGUGGGGGAUAACGUAGGGAAACUUACGCUAAUACCGCAUACGACCUACGGGUGAAAGCAGGGGAUCUUCGGACCUUGCGCGAUUGAAUGAGCCGAUGUCGGAUUAGCUAGUUGGCGGGGUAAAGGCCCACCAAGGCGACGAUCCGUAGCUGGUCUGAGAGGAUGAUCAGCCACACUGGAACUGAGCCACGGUCCAGACUCCUACGGGAGGCAGCAGUGGGGAAUAUUGGACAAUGGGCGCAGGCCUGAUCCAGCCAUACCGCGUGGGUGAAGAAGGCCUUCGGGUUGUAAAGCCCUUUUGUUGGGAAAGAAAAGCAGCAGGUUAAUACCCCGCUGUUCUGACGGUACCCAAAGAAUAAGCACCGGCUAACUUCGUG
rnacentral:rRNA from 1 species